CCGAAUUUACAACUCCCAAACCCCUGUGAACAUACCUAUACGUUGCCUCGGCGGAUCAGCCCGCGCCCCGUAAAAAGGGACGGCCCGCCCGAGGACCCCUAAACUCUGUUUUUAGUGGAACUUCUGAGUAAAACAAACAAAUAAAUCA
rnacentral:misc_RNA from 1 species